UACGUAGGUGGCAAGCGUUGUCCGGAUUUAUUGGGUUUAAAGGGUGCGUAGACGGUCUAUUAAGUCAGUUGUGAAAUACGGCAGCUCAACUGUCGAGGUGCAAUUGAUACUGAUGGACUUGAGUACUGAUGAGGUAAGCGGAAUGGACGGUGUAGCGGUGAAAUGCUUAGAUAUCGUCCAGAACACCGAUAGCGAAGGCAGCUUACUAAGGAGUAACUGACGCUGAGGCACGAAAGUGUGGGGAUCAAACAGG
rnacentral:rRNA from 1 species